UACGGAGGAUCCGAGCGUUAUCCGGAUUUAUUGGGUUUAAAGGGUGCGUAGGCGGUUUGAUAAGUUAGAGGUGAAAUGUCGGGGCUCAACCCCGAAACUGCCUCUAAUACUGUUGGACUAGAGAAUAGUUGCGGUAGGCGGAAUGUAUGGUGUAGCGGUGAAAUGCUUAGAGAUCAUACAGAACACCGAUUGCGAAGGCAGCCUGCCGCAGCGUUACUGACGCUGAAGCUCGAAAGCGCGGGUAUCGAACAGG
rnacentral:rRNA from 1 species